CUAAGAAUCUUCCGCAAUGGGCGAAAGCCUGACGGAGCGAUGCCGCGUGAUUGAUGAAGGUCGAGAGAUUGUAAAGAUCUUUUCUGGGUGAGGAAUAAGUGUGGGAGGGAAUGCCCGCAUGAUGACGUUAACCCAGGAAUAAGCCCCGGCCAAUUACGUGCCAGCAGCCGCGGUAACACGUAAGGGGCGAGCGUUGUUCGGAAUUAUUGGGCGUAAAGGGCGUGCAGGCGGUUUUGCAAGUCUGAUGUGAAAGACCUGGGCUUAACUCAGGAAACGCAUUGGAAACUGUGAGACUUGAAUCUUGGAGGGGGAGUUGGAAUUCCUAGUGUAGGGGUGAAAUCUGUUGAUAUUAGGAAGAACACCGGUGGCGAAGGCGAACUCCUGGCCAAAGAUUGACGCUGAGGCGCGAAAGCGUAGGUAGCAAACAGG
rnacentral:rRNA from 1 species